rnacentral:rRNA from 1 species
AGUUUGAUCAUGGCUCAGAUUGAACGCUGGCGGCAUGCCUUACACAUGCAAGUCGAACGGCAGCAUAGGAGCUUGCUCCUGAUGGCGAGUGGCGAACGGGUGAGUAAUAUAUCGGAACGUGCCCUAGAGUGGGGGAUAACUAGUCGAAAGACUAGCUAAUACCGCAUACGAUCUACGGAUGAAAGUGGGGGAUCGCAAGACCUCAUGCUCCUGGAGCGGCCGAUAUCUGAUUAGCUAGUUGGUGGGGUAAAAGCCUACCAAGGCAACGAUCAGUAGCUGGUCUGAGAGGACGACCAGCCACACUGGGACUGAGACACGGCCCAGACUCCUACGGGAGGCAGCAGUGGGGAAUUUUGGACAAUGGGGGCAACCCUGAUCCAGCAAUGCCGCGUGAGUGAAGAAGGCCUUCGGGUUGUAAAGCUCUUUUGUCAGGGAAGAAACGGUAGUAGCGAAUAACUAUUACUAAUGACGGUACCUGAAGAAUAAGCACCGGCUAACUACGUGCCAGCAGCCGCGGUAAUACGUA